CAAUACCUGGCAUACGGCUCAGUAACACGUAGUCAACAUGCCCAGGGGACGUGGAUAACCUCGGGAAACUGAGGAUAAACCACGAUAGGUCAUAAUAUCUGGAAUGAUUUAUGGCUAAAAUCUACAUGGCCCCUGGAUUGGACUGCGGCCGAUCAGGCUGUUGGUGAGGUAAUGGCCCACCAAACCUAAAACCGGUACGGGCUCUGAGAGGAGAAGCCCGGAGAUGGGCACUGAGACAAGGGCCCAGGCCCUGUGGGGCGCAGCAGGCGCGAAAACUCUGCAAUAAGCGAAAGCUUGACAGGGUUAUUCUGAGUGAUUUCCGCUAAGGAAAUCUUUUGGCACCUCUAAAAAUGGUGCAGAAUAAGGGGUGGGCAAGCCUGGUGUCACCCGCCGCGGUAAUACCAGCACCCCGAG
rnacentral:rRNA from 1 species